CGAAGGAUAUGGAGGUACUUCUUCUGCUGCUAUGAUCUACUACUAGCUGUGAUACAGUAUUUUGGUUCGUUUGUCUUCCGGAAUUAUCCUGAUGGUUGGCAUGUGCAUAUAAGUAAUUGAUUCAUGCAGGGGGUUGUUAGAGAUAUCAGGUCUCUGAAUACUAGGCCUAACAAUGCAAAUGGUGCAAAGCUGCUCCCCCAAUGAAGACCACAGAGAAACCAAGAUGUAGAAGCAAAUGGAUAGCCCCCUGAUGAACCAAACAUCAGCAGCAAAUGGAAGCCCCAUGAUCACCCAUACACCAGUAGGAAAUGGAAGGCCCCAGAUGAAUCAAACACCAGUAACAGAUGGAAGGCCACAGUUGUACCAGACACCAGGGAUAAAUAAAAGACCUCAGAAGGAACACUUAUAUACCCUCUAAUCUGGAUCACUGAAGUAACAGUUUUCACGAUGGAUGUGUUAAAAAAGGUUUCUGUUAGUAUGCUUACUGAGACUCCAAAUUCUGAAAACCUCGAACGGAACUGCUAAAUAUAUGUAAACUUCUCAAAAGAUGAGGAAAUUGACAUUCUUAUCUGCAUGAUCUUGUGGAAUAUGCUUAUUUUCAUGACAUAACUAGUUUAACGCUGGCAGUUCAAAUCUUGAAAUAGAACACAUUGUAUUGCUCCACCAGAACCCACACUUUCUCUUUCUUCAGGAAGAUUAUAGUCAUGACUUUCGGUUGUAGUACAAAUAUGUCUCUGCUCUGCAUAUACAUGUCUUCACUGUUUUGCUCUUUAUGUCCUUGUCAGGUUUUGGAUUCUGAUAAUGCUUGCUUGUUAAUACCAGCCUCCCCGUACCUUCCAUUUAUUCUACUAGAGAGGGAGAUCUGAAUCCAAAUGUAGAACAGGGAAAGGUAAAAGCAGCUCGAUUGGUUGGUUCAAGAUACAGGCUGGCACCAACACAGAAAGAGGUGACGGAUUGAAAGGUCAAUCCACAAGAGCGAACUAAGAAGGAACCACUCAGAAUAAUCAUCGAUCCAGACAAUGAUGGUGAAGGCCGUACUUCCCGGGCGAUUCUCAACGUAGAACCAGCUGACCUGAUGAAAGAAGCCGGCAGCGAGUGGGGCCUGCAGCUUGUGUGCGGGGCGAGGAAGAGGAGGACGAGAAGUGAAACACUGUCCAUUGAUGCUGCCGCCUUGCUGCUAGGAGAAGGCGAGAGGAGGAGGCAGGAACCUGGGCCAGAAGCACAGAAGGACGAGGCUAUUCACGCGGUAAGCUGCUCCAGCAAAGCCAGCUUGCCGGUGCAACCCCAAGUACGACACGACCCAGGGGAUCACCUGAGGCGGCCUGAGCAGCCAUGUCGGCGCCGCACACACCAACGGAAAAAGGUUGUUCGACUUUGGCAACAUCGAAGCACAUAGUAUCACUUGACCCAUGAUCCCCACAACUCAAACACAUGCACAUUAUAGAUCUCCAGAGAGGUAAAGUCCUUUUUUCAACCAUUUCAACUGUUGUUUACACGAGUUCCACAUGAUGAACAAACUGAA